CAGUCGCCACGGUAAUACGUAGGUGGCAAGCGUUGUCCGGAAUUAUUGGGCGUAAAGGGCUCGCAGGCGGUUUCUUAAGUCUGAUGUGAAAGCCCCCGGCUCAACCGGGGAGGGUCAUUGGGAACUGGGAAACUUGAGUGCAGAAGAGGAGAGUGGAAUUCCACGUGUAGCGGUGAAAUGCGUAGAGAUGUGGAGGAACACCAGUGGCGAAGGCGACUCUCUGGUCUGUAACUGACGCUGAGGAGCGAAAGCGUGGGGAGCGAACAGGAUUAGAUACCCCGGUAGUCCCUGUCUCUUAUAC
rnacentral:rRNA from 1 species